rnacentral:rRNA from 1 species
CGAUUGAGAGUGGCGAACGGGUGAGUAACACGUAGUUCACCUGCCCCAAAGAGCGGGACAACAGUUGGAAACGGCUGCUAAUACCGCAUACCCUCGCAAGAGGAAAGCUCAGGCGCUUUGGGAUGGGACUGCGAACCAUCAGCUAGUUGGUGCGGUAAAGGCGCACCAAGGCGACGACGGUUAGGGGACCUGAGAGGGUGACCCCCCACACUGGGACUGAGACACGGCCCAGACUCCUACGGGAGGCAGCAGUGAGGAAUAUUGCCCAAUGGAGGCAACUCUGAGGCAGCGACGCCGCGUGGGCGAAGACGGGUUUCGGCCUGUAAAGUCCUUUUCUGUGUGACGAGAGUGGACGGUAGCACAGGAAUAAGUCUCGGCUAACCACGUGCCAGCAGCCGCGGUAAAACGUAGGAGGCAAGCGUUAUCCGGAGUUACUGGGCGUAAAGCGCGUGCAGGCGGAUCGAUAAGUCGACCAUGAAAGCUCCCGGCUAAACUGGGGGAGGUUGAGCGAAACUGUCGGUCUAGAGUGGAGAAGAGGAAAGCGGAAUUCCGCGUGUAGUGGUGAAAUGCGUAGAGAUGCGGAAGAACACCAGUGGCGAAGGCGGCUUUCUGGUCUCCAACUGACGCUCAGACGCGAAAGCGUGGGUAGCGAACGGGAUUAGAAACCCCGGUAGUCCAUGCCGUAAACGAUGCACACUAAACGUUCGCAGUCCUACGGGGCUGUGGGUGUUGAAGCUAACGCGAUAAGUGUGCCGCCUGGGGAGUACGGUCGCAAGGCUAAAACUCAAAGGAACUGACGGGGGCCCGCACAAGCAGCGGAGCGUGUGUUUAAUUCGAGGAUACGCGAAGAACCUUACCUGGGUUUGACAUCGCUUGACGAGCUAUGAAAGUAGCUGUUCCUUCGGGACAGCAGACAGUGCUGCAUGGUUGUCGUCAGCUCGUGC